rnacentral:rRNA from 1 species
UACGGGGGGAGCAAGCGUUGUUCGGAUUUACUGGGCGUAAAGGGCGCGUAGGCGGCCACCGCAAGUCGACUGUGAAAUCUCCGGGCUUAACCCGGAAAGGUCAGCCGAUACUGCGGGGCUAGAGUGCAGAAGGGGCAACUGGAAUUCUCGGUGUAGCGGUGAAAUGCGUAGAUAUCGAGAGGAACACCUGCGGCGAAGGCGGGUUGCUGGGCCGACACUGACGCUGAGGCGCGAAAGCUAGGGGAGCGAACGGG